rnacentral:rRNA from 1 species
AGUGAACGCUGGCGGUAGGCCUAACACAUGCAAGUCGAACGGCAGCACAGUAAGAGCUUGCUCUUACGGGUGGCGAGUGGCGGACGGGUGAGGAAUACAUCGGAAUCUACUUUUUCGUGGGGGUUACCUUAGGGAAACUUACGUUAUUCCCGCAUCCGCCUUACGGUUAAAACAAGGGGACCUUCGAACUUUCCCCGAUUGAUUGAGCCGAUGUCGGAUUAGCUAGUUGGCGGGGUAAAGGCCCCCAAGGCGACGAUCCGUAGCUGGUCUGAGAGGAUGAUCAGCCACACUGGAACUGAGACACGGUCCAGACUCCUACGGGAGGCAGCAGUGGGGAAUAUUGGACAAUGGGCGCAAGCCUGAUCCAGCCAUACCGCGUGGGUGAAGAAGGCCUUCGGGUUGUAAAGCCCUUUUGUUGGGAAAGAAAAGCAGCAGGUUAAUACCCCGCUGUUCUGACGGUACCCAAAGAAUAAGCACCGGCUAACUUCGUG